UUUUGCAACACGUGCAGUGUUUGCAGUUCGUAUAGUAUGUUUGUGUGCUUAUUGUUAAAUCUGUUAUAGUGUAGUGAGUCUUCACUACUGUGUUGUAUGCAUGAGUAUAGUUAUGCACUGGUUUGAAUUAGAAUAAUGUUGCAUGCACUGUUUGUCCUACAGCAGUGUCUGGACUAAAAGGCUGCAUGUUCCUUGGUAUUUAAUUGAAUGCAAUCAGUUUACUGCACGCAGCUUCAGAAAGUCACACCUCCCCAUGCUGAGUAAAACAUUAUCCUGCAUGCUGUGUUAAUAGCAAGUAGAUCAGAGGACUGAAAUACUUUGUAUCAGCAGUGGACCUGAAUCCAGACUCUGAUCCCAAUUCUCUCCAUGAACUCUGUUGGGCUGAACAAUUUGAAAGAGAUUCCUCUCCAGAUUUGGGGCCUGAACUUUAUUAAUCUUGAAAACGAAAUACAUUUACGUCAAUAUCCCAAGCUUCUGGAGAGGAGAUGAUGGAAAUCCAGAUUUUAGAGCUGGGUUUGAGUCCAGUGCUAAACAGUGUGAAUGAAGUUCAGUUGAUGUAGUGUUUCGUUCAACCACAUCUGUAUUCUUUGCAGAAAUUCACUGUCAGCAAGCAUCACUGAAAAAAGGACGGAAGACAUUGAAAAGGAAGAAUGUUUCCCCUGUGAUUUUUGAAGGCGGAUAGAUUUUCUACAUGUGAAAAAACUCCGUUUCAAGAAACAAAAGGAGGAGCGGAGGGGAAGAAAAGGAGGAAUCAUCAUCUCCUUGCUCCACGAGUGACAACAGCUUGCGUGCCACGUCUGCUGAUGUCGCCUUAUUCCACAAACCUUUUCUUCCAGGCUUUCUGUCACUUGUGUGGUCAGGACAGGCUUCACUUCGGUCAGGCUGGUGUGACAAAUGGCAUCGCUGGGUCUCUGCGCCCCUUCCUGGGGGGGCUCCCCUGCAGGGGUACUCCCUGCACGGUACUCUGAACUCGUGGCAGUAGGUGCAUCCACACCAUGCAGUUGUUUCCCCUUCCUGUCCAUACUCUAUGUUCUGUUUUCCUCAGCUACUUCUCCAGCCUUACAUCUUCCAGACAUGGUCAAUUUACCAGUUGACGUUUAAAAUUCCAUAAACAGUAAUAUACUGGCUUAGUCUUCAGAGCCAGCGAAUAUCCCCUGUGCUACUUCAGACAGCACACACACAUUUUGACUGUGUUGCAAAUGAACAAAUAAUAUUUCAGUUAUUAAAUGUAUUUCUAAAAAUGUA